rnacentral:rRNA from 1 species
AGUGAACUUAAGCCCCAGUAAACGGCGGCCGUAACUAUAACGGUCCUAAGGUAGCGAAAUUCCUUGUCGGGUAAGUUCCGACCCGCACGAAAGGCGUAACGAUUUGGGCACUGUCUCAACAACAGACUCGGUGAAAUUGUAAUUCCGGUGAAGAUGCCGGAUACCUGCGACAGGACGGAAAGACCCCAUGGAGCUUUACUGUAGCUUGACAUUGGGUCUUGGUACUACAUGUACAGGAUAGGUGGGAGGCUUUGAAACCAGGACGCCAGUUUUGGCGGAGCCAUCCUUGGGAUACCACCCUUGUAGUACUGGGACUCUAACCAUAGGCCAUGAAUCUGGUCUUGGGACACUGUCAGGUGGGCAGUUUGACUGGGGCGGUCGCCUCCCAAAAGGUAACGGAGGCGCUCAAAGGUUCUCUCAGUACGGUCGGAAAUCGUACGUAGAGUGUAAAGGCAAAAGAGAGCUUGAUUGCAAGACAUACAGGUCGAGCAAGGAUGAAAAUCGGACUUAGUGAUCCGGUGGUUCUGCGUGGAAGGGCCAUCGCUCAACGGAUAAAAGCUACCCUGGGGAUAACAGGCUUAUCUCCCCCAAGAGUCCACAUCGACGGGGAGGUUUGGCACCUCGAUGUCGGCUCAUCACAUCCUGGGGCUGUAGUAGGUCCCAAGGGUUGGGCUGUUCGCCCAUUAAAGUGGUACGCGAGCUGGGUUCAGAACGUCGUGAGACAGUUCGGUCCCUAUCCGUCGCAGGCGUAGGAAAUUUGAGAAGACCUGUCCUUAGUACGAGAGGACCGGGAUG